UGGGGAAUCUUGGACAAUGGGGGCAACCCUGAUCCAGCCAUGCCGCGUGAGUGAUGAAGGCCUUAGGGUCGUAAAGCUCUUUCGCCUGUGAAGAUAAUGACGGUAGCAGGUAAAGAAACCCCGGCUAACUCCGUGCCAGCAGCCGCGGUAAUACGGAGGGGGUUAGCGUUGUUCGGAAUUACUGGGCGUAAAGCGCACGUAGGCGGACCAGAAAGUUGGGGGUGAAAUCCCGGGGGCUCAACCCCGGAACUGCCUCCAAAACUAUUGGUCUAGAGUUCGAGAGAGGUGAGUGGAAUUCCAAGUGUAGAGGUGAAAUUCGUAGAUAUUUGGAGGAACACCAGUGGCGAAGGCGGCUCACUGGCUCGAUACUGACGCUGAGGUGCGAAAGUGUGGGGAGCAAACAGGAUUAGAAUACCCUGGGUAGUCCACACCGUAAAACGAUGAAUGCCAGUCGUCGGGUAGCAUGCUAUUCGGU
rnacentral:rRNA from 1 species